rnacentral:rRNA from 1 species
CCUACGGGAGGCAGCAGUGGGGAAUUUUGGACAGUGGGGGCAACCCUGAUCCAGCCAUGCCGCGUGAGUGAAGAAGGCCUUCGGGUUGUAAAGCUCUUUCAGACGGAAAGAAAACGCCCCUCCUAAUACGGGGGGUGGAUGACGGUACUGUCAGAAGAAGCACCGGCUAACUACGUGCCAGCAGCCGCGGUAA